GAGCGGCUGGUCGAGGCCGGAGGGGUGGUGCUCUGCGACAGCGCCUCGAUGCCGGGCCUGGUGAUCGACGUACUGGUCGUCCG
rnacentral:tRNA from 1 species